UUUACUUAUGAGUCUCUGACAGCUUUGCUGCUUCUCCUGAAAAUGUCAGCCCUUCAGAGGUUUAAAAGUUUGCAGCAUGAAAUUGAUAGGCUUCACCUAUUAUACUUGGAAACUGAUGAAAGUCCAAGAAAAUCGAACAGAGGAAGAAAUUGGAAGGGUAUAUCCGGGAGUACUUAUAUCUAGUGCCUCAUGACCGGAAAUUUUGUUUUGAGGAAACGAAGCAUGUGUUGCGGCGUAGUGUGGAAUGCAAAGAAAAUUUUAGUGCAUACAAAGCAUCAAAUGCAUGGUCAGCUCUUGCUGUUUAUGCUGAAAACUUGCUUGCACAACCCUGGCGAAAAGAGUUCCGUCAAGUGAAGUUGUAUAGUGGUUAUUACAAACAUGAGAUUGAAUCAGGGCUUGUAGGUGCGGAAAUCAUGCUGGAAAAAAUGGGUUACAAGCACUCAUCUCAAGAUGUUUCAAUGGUGCUGGAUAACGUUACAAAUCCUACUCGCAUUGUAGAUAUAUCCAAGGAUUGUCUGGUAGCAAUGGUAGAAUGUCAGAUUCUGCGCACGGUGUAUGAAGAAGUCAUAAAAAAAUGUCAUUGCAGCUGGCUCCAAGUUUUGGAUUACCGUGAAGCAUUCGUUAGUUCGCCUGAAAUACUCUCGGACGCUAUCAUCAAUAAGACACUACCCAAAAUCUUCAACCAACAAACAACAAAUCACACAAUGUGCCCUCACAGUACAUCAUACAAACCUGUGUCCUUUCACGACUGUAUGUAUAACAAUUAUCCUCCAAAUCCUUACUAUCCCUACCUAAGCAUGCAGCCCCCCAUGUCAACUUAUACUCAACCUUAUUGUCAAGGGAACGUACCUUUAAAACCCCCUUUCAUGUGUCCUCCCUACAGCCAAUACAACUAUUCUUAUUCAGCCCCUAACCAUGGAGCUUUACCACAAAAUUACACCCACCCUGUUCCAACUGGGCAGCUGAUAGAAAUAGAUCCUCCUCAGGAACCGUAUUAUUGCCACCGAAGAAGCAACUCAGAUCACAAAAUUAGCCAUCAACGAAAAAGUAGUGAAAGGUAUUCAACCGAUUCGUGUAGCCGCUCAACUCCAUCUGAUGAUUUGCCGACUCAAGGGUCGAAAACUAAGUCAUCCAACUGUGUAAAGAUCGAUGGUUCUGUGAGUAGUGAGUGGGAUUUUAUCGAUCCUGGUGAUAUCCGAAGUUCAAAAGCACAGGCAGCAGCUAAGUCAAAGUCUAAUUAUAGUUCAUCAAGUCUAGAUAAUCUAAAAAUUAAUGGUAGUUUGGUUCCAGAAGACUCAAAGCUUACAGAAACUUUAGGAAAACUUUCGGUUUGUACCAGUAGUAGGUUAAAAGCAUAUGAAAGCCCAGACUCAACUGACUCCAGCCAAAGAAUGAGUGCUUACGAUAACCAAUCUGGGUUUCCUGCAAGUAAUUACCAGUCGCUUCAUAGUCCGAGCAAAUCAAAAACUCUGGUUACCGAAUCCGGGAAACAACCGUCCAAACCUACCUCUAGCUCUAAUCAAACUCGUAGUGAUAAUUUGUUGAUAGAUACGUCAGAACUGGUCGUCAAUCUGAACUCAUCCAAUGAGUGGAGUUGCGCCAACUGCACUUAUUUAAACAAAGAAUCAGCAAAGAUCUGUGAAAUAUGUAAUAAAGUAGGACAACUGGGAAUGAAAUGGCUCCGCUUAUCAGUGGCGGAAGGGAAUGCCCCAAGUGUACUUUAG
rnacentral:lncRNA from 1 species